rnacentral:misc_RNA from 1 species
AAGUCGUAACAAGGUUUCCGUAGGUGAACCUGCGGAAGGAUCAUUAGAGAAAUAUAACGAUCGAGGUUGUAGCUGGUCCUUCGGGACAUGUGCACGCCUCCUUCAUCCAUUUACACCCGUGCACCUCUGCGUGGGCCGACCGGCCUGCGUCUUUUUAUAAACUCUUGUAUGUCUUAAGAAUGUCAAUGUCGAUGUCAUAAAACGCAUCUAAUACAACUUUCAACAACGGAUCUCUUGGCUCUC